rnacentral:rRNA from 1 species
CCUACGGGGGGCAGCAGUGGGGAAUAUUGCACAAUGGGGGAAACCCUGAUGCAGCGACGCCGCGUGAGUGAAGAAGUAUUUCGGUAUGUAAAGCUCUAUCAGCAGGGAAGAAAAUGACGGUACCUGAUUAAGAAGCCCCGGCUAACUACGUGCCAGCAGCCGCGGGAAUACGUAGGGGGCAAGCGUUAUCCGGAUUUACUGGGUGUAAAGGGAGCGUAGACGGCAGCACAAGUCUGGAGUGAAAUGCCGGGGCUUAACCCAGGAACUGCUUUGGAAACUGUGCAGCUAGAGUGCAGGAGAGGUAAGUGGAAUUCCUAGUGUAGCGGUGAAAUGCGUAGAUAUUAGGAGGAACACCAGUGGCGAAGGCGGCUUACUGGACUGUAACUGACGUUGAGGCUCGAAAGCGUGGGGAGCAAACAGGAUUAGAUACCCCAGUAGUC